rnacentral:lncRNA from 1 species
AUCUCUCACACUUCAAGUCAUGGCACUUCAUCCACCUUGAGUGUUACCCAUUCUGGGAUGUGGCAGUAGGCCAGGGAGUAUGAAAAGCAGGCUGUGAUGGGCUGCUCUGGAGAAUGAUGUGGAGUGCAUUCAGAGGAGGAUCUAUUGUAUAAAACAAAGCCUUUCUUCCAGUCACUCUGGAGAACAACACUGUGUGAGAAGAGUGCUGUGCUUUAAAUCAUUAAAGAUAACUUCUUGCCAGGUGUGAUAGACCAGGGUGCUUACCCUCUAUUCCUCUGAGCACUUUGAAGAAACUACUACAUUUGUCAAAUGACCAAAAAAAAUCAUCUUAAGAGAGUCAAUUGAGAGACAUCAAAAGCAACUGGAAAAUCAUCCCAGGUGAGCUGUUACUUGAA